CAAAGAAAGGGGGGAGGCUUCAUCAUUGUAAUCGGGUCUUUUCCUUUUCUUUUGUAACAUUUUCACAACACAAUAGUUAAUGAAAAAAGGCAGAGAAAACAUUGAAAGGUUGAUUCAGACUUUUUAUUCUUUUUUUCUGUUCGUUUUUAUAUUUGUUUGUUUUUUUUAUAUACGAAUUUAUCUCAACAAACGAAAUAAAAA
rnacentral:lncRNA from 1 species